rnacentral:rRNA from 1 species
GACGAACCGUGCGAACGUUGUUCGGAAUAACUGGGCUUAAAGGGCGCGUAGGCGGAUUGCCAAGUUUGGGGUGAAAUCCUCCGGCUCAACCGGAGAACUGCCUUGAAUACUGGCGAUCUCGAGGGGGAUAGGGGCAUGCGGAACUAUGGGUGGAGCGGUGAAAUGCGUUGAUAUCCAUAGGAACUCCGGUGGCGAAGGCGGCGUGCUGGAUCCCUUCUGACGCUGAGGCGCGAAAGCCAGGGGAGCAAACGGG